GAAAAAUAAAGGUUAGGAAGUAGUAACUUGGUAUUUUCUUUUAGAGAGAGAUCGGUUGGUGCAAGAUCUUAGAAAAAACAUGUGAACUUGUCCUGUUGAUGAACCUAUCGUUUUGUUACCGCGUUAAGGACUAGCAAGUGUCACCCUUUAGGUGAAACUUAGGUGGUACCGCGGUAAAUUCGUCCUAUGA
rnacentral:ncRNA from 1 species